CACGUAGGGCGCGAGCGUUGUCCGGAAUUAUUGGGCGUAAAGAGCUCGUAGGUGGCCUGUUGCGUCCGCUGUGAAAGCCCGGGGCUUAACCCCGGGUCGGCAGUGGAUACGGGCAGGCUGGAGGCAGGCAGGGGAGAACGGAAUUCCCGGUGUAGCGGUGAAAUGCGCAGAUAUCAGGAGGAACACCGGUGGCGAAGGCGGGUCUCUGGGCAGUAACUGACGCUGAGGAGCGAAAGCGUGGGGAGCGAACAGG
rnacentral:rRNA from 1 species